GUGACUCAGGAGGAUUUUGAAGAUUUGAAAGAUGAUCAGUUUGAUGAGUCCUUUGGACUUCACCCCUUCGGUCCAUAGAAGGAACAUUAGGAGCCAUCACCCCCUCUUCCUGCUCACACCCAGAUAUUUAUUGUUUGCCAGUGUCAGCAGGAGACAUAGCCCAAUCCUGUUACCUGUAAUCUGAGAGGAACUCUACCUCCCUUUCAAGCCUUUUGGACUGGUUCCUGCCUUUGAGUUCUUGCUCCAACUUCCCUCAGUGAUGGAGUGCAAUGUGGAAAGGCACUGUGCUGUGUCUUCCUGGGAAAAGAAGAGUUUACAGGACAAGCGGGGUUGCCCAAGGCUGGAUUAUUCUUGCCGCCUUCUUGGUUUUAUGUUCUUUUCACAUCUAAUUAGGAAACAAGUGAGUAAAUAAAAACUCAUUUUAAACCCAUCUGAAAUGUAAGCAAAUUGCUUUCAUUGAACUGAACUUAAAGGCAGACUCAAUUAAUCAACUUUAAAUUAUGGGUAAAAAAAUCAAUAUAAAACUUCUAUCUUUGUUUGCAUUCAAGAGUUACUCUGAACUGGUACUUCGCAUGUGCAGACAGUUAACUGCAACAUUUUCGAAAUUAUUUUUACAACUCACAUGUGUCAGAAAGUUUGUUUCUAUAGCUAUUGUUUUUCUUUUGAAAUUAAUAUGCUAAGGGAUUAUAUUUAAUGAUCUGUGGAAAUAUUGACUUUAUGCAAAAGACAUAGGCAAAACUAACUUGAAUAUAUUAAUUUGUAUGUGUUGCCCAUCUCAUUAGACCAGAAUGUGUUUCCCUUGGAUUACAUGACACUUUUUGACUCUGCGUUACAUUAUCUUUUUGAAUUUAGCCUGUUAGAUUUCAGACAUUGUAUUCAGUAGACUUUUGUCAGUCCUUUUAUUUAGGGUUAAAGCAUUUUUUGUAGUUACUGAUUUUGCAAUGAGAAUGAUAGUUUCCAUACAUGUUGACC
ensembl:lncRNA